UAGUGUGAGACACAUUCCCCUUGCUCAUAGGUUUCCACCAAAACAGCAGGAUGCACAAGCGGGUAUACAGGCUUUGGAAAGGAAACAUCCUUACAUCUUUGGAAAUUAUAAAUAAAGCGGCUCAAAUGUGCAGCUUCCCUAGCAAGGUCAACUUGAGACAUCAUGAAAACAGCAAACUGCUGCACACUCUCAUCCAACCUCAACCAGUUCAAAGUAGGAACGAAAUUUGAUAUUUUAGCUACCAAGUUGAUUAUCUCAAAAUCUCUCCUAAU
rnacentral:misc_RNA from 1 species